rnacentral:rRNA from 1 species
CGCGUAGGCGGGAUGGCAAGUCGGUCGUGAAAUCCCUCGGCUCAACCGAAGAACGUCGGCCGAUACUGCCGUUCUUGAGGGAUGCAGAGGAGAUUGGAAUUCCCGGUGUAGCGGUGAAAUGUGUAGAGAUCGGGAGGAACACCGGUGGCGAAGGCGGGUCUCUGGGCAUCUCCUGACGCUGAGGCGCGAAAGCGUGGGGAGCAAACG